rnacentral:lncRNA from 1 species
UUUGCUUCUUUGUGUAGGGACACAUAAGGCUUUACCAGUGACUUGAGAGCCAUGUGACAAAGGACGGUUAAAUUGGCCUUUCAGCGAGGACAAUGAGGCCUUUUUGUAUGACCCAGGAUCUCUUCUGCAGGAGUCACCCUGUCACUGUUUCUUCAUUGUCCUUAGGUUAACCCCACAGAAAUGCAGCUGACCUUUCUAGGACAUCUUUCCAGACAAGCUGCGUUGGCCCUGCAAAUCCUCAACCCUGUGUGAAUCCAGCCAUCUACUUCCUAGCAGAGCCACUGUGCAAGAGUGGCUUACUACCGGGUUAUGCCUGCUGAACUCAGCUGGACAACACAAGCCCCACGACAGUCCUCUAAUUUGCUUCCAGUCAAAUACUAAGCCCAUCACUGCUUUAGGUCUUCGCAACUUUCUCCAUCCAAAUCACCUGGCACUUUGCCCAAUCACCCUUCACUUUCAGCAGGUGAUCUGAAUACCUGCUUCACAGAAAAGAUCACUGGGGUGCCCUCAAUGCACUUGUGGUCACGCUGAUGGCUGCACCUGUCCUUACUUCUUUUCUGCUAGUCAAGCCUGAGCAGGUGACUUUAAUCUGACUGUCCCAGCCCUGGCAUAAAGCUCGGCACAGCUGUUGGGCCUGGUCCUCCUCAGCUAGGUCUUGUCAGCAUUCUGCCUGAGUCUUCUGAAGGCCCACUUUAGCUUUAUUUCCCUGUAACUGAGACUGGGGCCCAUGGCUUCCCACCCUCUCCCCUUGGCCUCUUUGCUUUCAGCUGCUCUAGGUCAAUGCCUUUCCUGACCUAAGUCCAGCUUUGCCAUAUGCCCACCAUUCCUUCUUCCAUGUCAUGGGUUGAAUUGUGUCCCAUAAAAAUUCAUACGUUGGAGUCCUAACCCCCAAUAUCUCAGAAUGUGACCUUAUUUGGAGAUAGUACUUAUUCAUUCAAUAGAUUAUUCAAGUACCAGCACUUUUUGUUACCAUAUGCCCUAUUCCCCAUUCAUCAAGAAGAAUCUCCUUCCGCCCACCCUUCCACUCUCAACCCUGCCAAUAGGACAUGUCUCUGGUUUUUUAAAAAAAUGAAUAGAUAAUUUUUUUUAGAGCAGCUUUAGGUUUACAGAGAAAUGAUCAGAAAGUCUAGAGAGCUCUCAUAUACUCCUUUAUCAUCCUUUUAAUGUCCCGUUUAAUGGGAUCUGAAGUGAGGUACCUUCUUUAAUUUCUGAUAUUAGCAAUUUGUGUUCUCUCUUUUUUUCUUAGCUUGGCUAGAGAAUUAUUGGUUUUAUUAAUCUUUUCAAAGAACCAACUUUUGGCUUUGUUGAUUUUCUCUAUUAAUUUCUUGUUUUCAAUUUCUUAUAAUUUAUUUUCUUCUCCCUACCUGGAGUUUAAUUUGCUCUUCUUUGUCCAGUUUUCUUAGGUGAAAGCUUAGAUGAUUGAUUUUAGGUCUUUCUUGUUUCCUAAUAUAUGCAUUCAAGCCUAUAAAUUUCCCUCUAAGCACUGCUUUUGCUGGGUCCCACAAAUUUUAAGUUGUGUUUUCAUUUUCAUUUAGUUCAAAAUAUUUAAAAAUUUCCCUUGAGAUUUCUUCCUUGGCCCAUGUGUUAUUUAUUUAGAUGUGUGUUGUUUAAUCUCCACAUAUUUUUGGAUUUUUCCAGUAAUCUUUCUGUUGUUGAUUUCUAGCUUAAUUCCCUUGUGGAAUUAAGGUGACAGGAGAGAAACGACUGCCAAUUUCCAAGGAAGGACUUUCCUUCUCUGAAAUUUAACUCCCUUAGACUUUGUUUCUACAGUCUUUCAGUGUCUUAAAAUAUGAUUUUUGUUUUUGCUUCUAUUUUUCUAUUUGUUAUGGAAGGAGUGACAGCCUGAUGCUACCGUCUACAUCCCACAUCAACAAUAAGUAGUUUAUAAAAUUUCUCUAUAGCCUUCUAUGGUGAAAAUGUAUAAAGAUGGAUUCGAAAAUAAAAAAUCUACACACUGGCA